GCCUUGGUGGUAUAGUGGUCAGCACACUAGGCGACUUUUCGAAAGGUCCGUGGUUCGAAUCCCGGCGAAGGCA
rnacentral:tRNA from 1 species